rnacentral:rRNA from 1 species
AGAGUUUGAUCAUGGCUCAGAUUGAACGCUGGCGGCAUGCCUUACACAUGCAAGUCGAACGGCAGCACGGGGGCAACCCUGGUGGCGAGUGGCGAACGGGUGAGUAAUACAUCGGAACGUGUCCUGUAGUGGGGGAUAGCCCGGCGAAAGCCGGAUUAAUACCGCAUACGCUCUACGGAGGAAAGGGGGGGAUCUUAGGACCUCCCGCUAGAGGGGCGGCCGAUGGCAGAUUAGCUAGUUGGUGGGGUAAAGGCCUACCAAGGCGACGAUCUGUAGCUGGUCUGAGAGGACGACCAGCCACACUGGGACUGAGACACGGCCCAGACUCCUACGGGAGGCAGCAGUGGGGAAUUUUGGACAAUGGGCGAAAGCCUGAUCCAGCAAUGCCGCGUGUGUGAAGAAGGCCUUCGGGUUGUAAAGCACUUUUGUCCGGAAAGAAAUCCUCUGCCCUAAUAUGGCGGGGGGAUGACGGUACCGGAAGAAUAAGCACCGGCUAACUACGUGCCAGCAGCCGCGGUAAUACGUAGGGUGCAAGCGUUAAUCGGAAUUACUGGGCGUAAAGCGUGCGCAGGCGGUUCGCUAAGACAGAUGUGAAAUCCCCGGGCUUAACCUGGGAACUGCAUUUGUGACUGGCGGGCUAGAGUAUGGCAGAGGGGGGUAGAAUUCCACGUAGCAGUGAAAUGCGUAGAGAUGUGGAGGAAUACCGAUGGCGAAGGCAGCCCCCUGGGCCAAUACUGACGCUCAUGCACGAAAGCGUGGGGAGCAAACAGGAUUAGAUACCCUAGUAGUCC